GAGAUAGGGAUUGUCUCCCUCCCAGAUGAUCGCCGUCUUUUCGCCGUGCGUCUUCAGGUGGCGGUCGAUGCAAUUGUAGGAGACGUUGGUCAGUCCGUCUUCGAACCACUUGAUCGAGACAUCGCCCUCGAAGGACGUGUUCU
rnacentral:sRNA from 1 species